GCUUGAGGUCUUCAACUUCUGAAUAUUUCAGGCAGCAUCUCUGGCUCUGAAUGGAAAUGGACAAAUGAAAACGUGGAAUGAGUUUUCAAGGACAGAAUUGGAGGGAAGAUUUAUCAUGCACGGGUUAAGGACACUUAAGAACAAGGAAGAAGAAAAAUUCACAGCCUUUGCCAGCCACCCUCAUCUGCCCAUCAAACCAGCCUUGCCCAGAUCUUUUGGCCUAAAGAAUGAGAGCAGGACUUCCUAGCAAGGAAAGUAAUGCCAAGGAAACAGAAAUCCUUCCUUAUGGCAUAAGAGGGCUUUGCUCCCUAGCAACCUCCAUCCUUACAGAACCAAAUUUUCUCAGGAGUGCUGUGCUCCCAGCUCACCUACUCCAUCUCAGAGAACUCACAGGAGAUUUGAGAAGUGCAGCAGACUCUCCUUUGGAAGCUCAUACCACACAAGCUGUUGAUCUUUCUCUGUACUGGGACUGCAGAUGGUCUGUCGCUGUUAAGAUACUUUGUGCAGCUGCUCAUACUAAAUUACUCCACAAACUUCUACUGUUUUCUUUCCUUUUGCUUCUAUUCUUUCACCAGUUCUUGUUGUCUACCUUGCCCAUGGUUCUAUGGGAGACAUACACCCAUCAUUUUUUGGUGGCUUCCCUUGGGGUAUGUUUUACUUUUUUUUUAUCUUAUUUUUCCAAGUACUUACCAUUUCUGUGGAAAAUCAGAGCAGCAUCUGGGGAGAUAUCUCAGUCCAGCUUACCAAGCAGCAGCAGUGUUCGCUGGACCGGACGCUGGCAUGGCGCUCUGAAGACCUGGUGUCAACUGUCAUCAGCCCAGGCACAUAAAGGAGCUUUGGAUAAGUCCUUUCA
ensembl:lncRNA